rnacentral:lncRNA from 1 species
AGAAAAUGACGAAAAAAGUGGAUGCGGGAUGAGAAAAUGAACGCAUUAGUUACAUAUAUUAGUUAUAUGUAUAGAAGUCAAAUUGAUGAUCCGGUGGAUAAUCGAGUCAUCUGUACAUUUUUGGAAAUUGUUUUUGACCCACGUGAGUUUGUCGACUUAAGUGACUACAGCUGAACAAGUCGCAAGAAAAAUCCUCCAGUCGAAAACCUGUGGAGAAUAUCAUCCUGAAUCGCACAAUUGGAAGAUUGACGGCAUAGAAAAUGAGGACUACUGCUUACCAGACAAGUUCCCGCGAAGUAUUAAUAUA